rnacentral:lncRNA from 1 species
UUCCACAUCCAAAAAUAUACCAAAAAGAUAUAGAACACCCCUUUCUAUAUUUUUCAAUAGUAAAUCAAUUCUCUGACUAAUCUCCCACAAAACAUCUCCUCAAAAUGUCACACAUAUAAGGUGAAAGAAAUUUUUUGGCGUGGAGAGUUGAUCUGGACGAGAAUAGAUUCUCCUGAUAAGGAAUAUUUUGAAAUCUAAUUUUAGAACCUUCUUUUUAUCAAAACCAAAUCAGAUUUAGACGUGAGAUAGAUAAGGAAAAAAAGUCUUUGGUGUAAAAAAAUAUC